GACGGAGGAGGCAAGCGUUAUCCGGAAUCAUUGGGCGAAAAGGGUACGUAGGCGGCUGGUCAAGUCUGGGGUCAAAGGCCACAGCUCAACUGUGGGAAGGCCCUGGAAACUGACCGGCUAGAGUGAGGUAGGGGUUGCGGGAAUUCCCGGUGUAGCGGUGAAAUGCGUAGAGAUCGGGAAGAACAACUGAUGCGGAAGCGCGCAACUGGGCCUCAACUGACGCUGAGGUACGAAAGCUAGGUGAGCGAAUGGG
rnacentral:rRNA from 1 species